GAUGAACGCUGGCGGCGUGCCUAAUACAUGCAAGUCGAGCGAACGGACGAGAAGCUUGCUUCUCUGAUGUUAGCGGCGGACGGGUGAGUAACACGUGGAUAACCUACCUAUAAGACUGGGAUAACUUCGGGAAACCGGAGCUAAUACCGGAUAAUAUUUUGAACCGCAUGGUUCAAAAGUGAAAGACGGUUUUGCUGUCACUUAUAGAUGGAUCCGCGCUGCAUUAGCUAGUUGGUAAGGUAACGGCUUACCAAGGCAACGAUGCAUAGCCGACCUGAGAGGGUGAUCGGCCACACUGGAACUGAGACACGGUCCAGACUCCUACGGGAGGCAGCAGUAGGGAAUCUUCCGCAAUGGGCGAAAGCCUGACGGAGCAACGCCGCGUGAGUGAUGAAGGUCUUCGGAUCGUAAAACUCUGUUAUUAGGGAAGAACAAAUGUGUAAGUAACUGUGCACGUCUUGACGGUACCUAAUCAGAAAGCCACGGCUAACUACGUG
rnacentral:rRNA from 1 species